UACGGAGGGUGCAAGCGUUAUCCGGAUUCACUGGGUUUAAAGGGCGCGUAGGCGGCUUGAUAAGUCAGUGGUGAAAGCCCCAAGCUCAACUUGGGAAUUGCCAUUGAUACUGUUAAUCUUGAGUGCGGUUGAAGUGGGCGGAAUAUGACAUGUAGCGGUGAAAUGCUUAGAUAUGUCAUAGAACACCGAUUGCGAAGGCAGCUCACUAAGCCGCAACUGACGCUGAGGCUCGAAAGCGUGGGGAGCAAACAGG
rnacentral:rRNA from 1 species